rnacentral:rRNA from 1 species
CAGCCGCCACGGGAAUACGAAGGGGGCUAGCGUUGCUCGGAAUCACUGGGCGUAAAGGGUGCGUAGGCGGGUUUUUAAGUCAGAGGUGAAAUCCUGGAGCUCAACUCCAGAACUGCCUUCGAUACUGAAAGUCUUGAGUUCGGGAGAGGUGAGUGGAACUGCGAGUGUAGAGGUGAAAUUCGUAGAUAUUCGCAAGAACACCAGUGGCGAAGGCGGCUCACUGGCCCGAUACUGACGCUGAGGCACGAAAGCGUGGGGAGCAAACAGGAUUAGAGACCCCUGUAGUCCCUGUCUCUUAUAA